CAGUCGCCGCGGUAAUACGUAGGUGGCAAGCGUUGUCCGGAAUCAUUGGGUUUAAAGGGUCCGUAGGCGGUUUAGUAAGUCAGUGGUGAAAGCCCAUCGCUCAACGGUGGAACGGCCAUUGAUACUGCUGAACUUGAAUUAUUAGGAAGUAACUAGAAUAUGUAGUGUAGCGGUGAAAUGCUUAGAGAUUACAUGGAAUACCAAUUGCGAAGGCAGGUUACUACUAAUUGAUUGACGCUGAUGGACGAAAGCGUGGGGAGCGAACAGGAUUAGAUACCCCCGUAGUCCCUGUCUCUUAUAA
rnacentral:rRNA from 1 species